AAACGGCUACCAUCGCUAAGGCGAGCAGCAGGCGCGCAACUUAUCCACUGUCCACUCGGACGAGAUAGUGACGAGAAAUAACAAGCCCGUUCUCUUUGAGGUCGGGCAUUGGAAUGGACCGAAUGUAAACGAUUCGGUGAGUACCCACGAGAGGGCAAGUCUGGUGCCAGCAGCCGCGGUAAUUCCAGCUCUCGUAAUGUAUAGAAUUAUUGUUGCGGUUAAAAAGUUCGUAGUUGGAUUUCAUACCGCCAGUGGGUCGUGCCUAACGGUGCGUACUCGCGGCGGUGUUUAUGCCGGGGCGGGCUUGCCUGCCCCAGCAUGGAUUACUUUGAACGGCUUAAGUGCUCAAGGCGGGUCUUCGGACUGAAUACCGGUGCAUGGAAUAAUGGAACAAGGUUUCGGCCGAGUUUUAUUGGUUUUGUCGGCUGAGACAAUGGUUAACAGGAACAGCUGGGGGCACUCGUAUCCCGGCGCGAGAGGUGAAAUUCGUGGACCGUCGGGAGACGCCCUAAAGCGAAGGCAUUUGCCAAGAGUGUUUUCAUUAAUCAAGAACGAAAGUCAGAGGUUCGAAGGCGAUUAGAUACCGCCCUAGUUCUGACCGUAAACGAUACCAACUAUCAAUCCGCCAGUAGCUUUUGGUUAUUGGCGGGCGGAUCGACGGAAACGAAAGUUUUUCGGUUCCGGGGGAAGUAUGGUUGCAAAGCUGAAACUUAAAGGAAUUGACGGAAGGGCACCACCAGGAGUGGAGCUUGCGGCUUAAUUUGACCCAACACGGGAAACCUCACCCGGCCAGUACAUCAUAAGGAUUGACAGAUUGAAAGCUCUUUCAUGAUUUGAUGAAUGGUGGUGCAUGGCCGUUCUUAGUUCGUGGCGUGAGUCGUCUGCUUAAUUGCGAUAACGAGCGAGACUCCGACUGUUAAAUAGCACCCGUUUCUUUUCGAGCGGGCGGCUUCUUAACUGGAUUCGCGGCUUCAAGCCGCAAGAAAUGGAGCAAUAACAGGUCUGUGAUGCCCUUAGAUGUUCGGGGCCGCACGCGUGCUACAAUGAUGGUAACAGCGUGAUUGUCCUCGCCCGACAGGGCUUGGCAAACAGUUGAGAUAUUAUUAUGGCUGGAAUUGAGUGUUGAAAUUUUCUCUCAUGAACGAGGAAUUCCAAGUAAAUGCGAGUCAUCAACUUGCAUUGAUUACGUCCCUGCCCUUUGUACACACCGCCCGUCGCUAUCCGGGACUGAGUUGUUUCGAGAAAUCUACGGACCGGCCGCUUCUCGCAAGAGACCCGGCUGGAAAGUGAAUUAAUCGCAACGGCUUGAACCGGGUAAAAGUCGUAACAAGGUAUCAGUAGGUGAACCUGCUGAUG
rnacentral:rRNA from 1 species